GUUGUUGAUGUGCGCAGAGGGUCCCUGGUUCGAGCCCAGGUUGGGGCGAGGAGAGGGACGUAAGCUAUACUGUUACACUGACUUGCUUAAACAAAUGUGGUUUCUAAUGACAAUUGAGAGGUACAAACUAUGGCAUAAGGGGACAACAAGCGGAUAAGAGGCAAUCCGUAAUUUCGAUGAAGACAUUAAUGAGCGACCUAGGACGGACGUAGUCAGUAUAACUAUUUGUUUAGCACUAUUGAAAUGUACAGCAACAGAAUUCAGAACAAGGGCUGUUCUUAAAGUGUUCUCCCUAUACACCAAGCCAGGACCAUAGGAUAAAUAAAGCGGGCAUAUAAGCAGACAAUGAAAGCUCUUACGAUAUUCGAUAAUUACAUUUCUCUAAAACAGGUUAUAGGCGACAUGUGCACCACCAAGUCAGAACAGUAGGCGAAAUUAAGAGGGGUAAAUAGACCAAAUUAUUAGGGUGAGGCCCAUGGGCUAUUAACGUCUUACUACACAAAAUACACUUCAUAUUACUUUCUUAGCUACAGUAUACAUAUCUCCCUGGCAUAUUACAUCAUUUAUGCAGCAGCAUACAGUACAUUUUUGGACUCACCUUGUUGUGCUGUGCUCACUUGAACAGGAACAAAUUUUGUCAUCAAAGUCUGGCAUUCUCUGGAUUUAUGGUGCUUUAAAAACAACUGAGAACUCUGGAAAAAAAACAAGGUUGAAUCAUGAUGACGUCAUUGACCUUUAGGUCGUAGCACUAGAAAGAGGUCGGAUUUACAAUUCCGAGUUGGAUGACCAUUCAAAACGAGUUAACAGUUGUUUUGAGCGCGGCACAAAUCAUGCUUCAUUGACAGCAUGACCAAUGGUGAACGCUUACAAUUUUGAACUUGUAAAAGAGACUCUUAAUCGCAGAUUUGGGGCCACACAGCCACUCCACUGAAUAGCAGGCUAGUGAUUGCGUUGCAAUGCUAGCAGUUAGCCACUGUCACUGAUUCAUUCUGUUGGGUUAUAUUUUCUUAAACUAGUUGUGGUGCAUAACUUAUGAAUACUAAUGCUAAACAUAAGAGGUUUAUAUUGUAUUAACAUAGAUUGAGCAACAUAUAAUAGACAUGACUAACUGGAGGGUUGCUGGCUAGUAGUGUAGGCUGAGUAGACUCAUGACACACAAUGCCUGGUUGUGGGGCCGCUCAAGGACAGGUGUAUGUGAGGAACUGAUAGAGGGGAGAAUGGCUGUGGCAUAAUAAGAACAGGCACUGUCCUUGGGUGUCUGACUCUCGGGUACACACACGAAGAUAAGCUAGAAGACAACUAUGCUUGGCAACAAAGAUGCGUCUAGAGGCUGGGACCAGCCUGCAUGCCAACGAUAGGCUGGAGUAAGUCUAAACCACACCCAAGCCUCUACUAUGACAGGCCCUCAGGGAGAGGGAACUAAGUCUGUCAAGAAGUAUUUAAAGAAAAACUUGUGAAGUCAUUCCAGUUCUCUGUCUGCCCUGCGUGGUGUUUCAAUUCGAAUUGACGCAGACCCAACAAUUGGUGACCCCGACGUGAUCUGGUACUGGAACUUCGCUGAGUAUUGAUCAGCCGAUUGGACAUCGCUGUCGUGGGACGGUGUGUUUCACAAAGAGUCCAGACAACUAAAAACAGGUAAGCAGACGCCUAUUGUUAUAAUAACUGAAGGUCUGCAUAUUGGCUAUAUCCAAAUAAUUUUUUUGAAGCACCUGUUCGAUGUAAGUAAACUAAAUUACGAAUUAUUGUAAUCGUAAUGAAUAUUGAUUUGAGCAAACCUAAGUGUGGUAAAUGUGAGGGUUAACCCCUGUGCGGCCUCGGACGGACAUCCAGCGCAAAAUCCUAUCGCUAUUAGCAUAACAAAAUGUAAUAAUUUUUUUUUUUUUUUUCAAAUUAUAUUGUUUUAUAGAUACACCUCUCCUGAAUCGAACCACGUUGUCCGAUUUCAAAAAGGC
rnacentral:lncRNA from 1 species